GGGGGUGUUUCAGAUUCGAUUGUGCGGGUGAGUUAAAGCGCAAGCAUACCGAAGGCUCGGCUUCGUAAAAACGGAACUUUAAUUUAAAUGCUGAUAAUAAUCAAAAAUUAGCAUACGCUGCUUAAUUUGCGCGUACGUCCUGCCGAAUUUUUCCCGUCGGAUACGGAUAGGGCGUCAACUAGGCGGGGAACUGCUUUAACCGUUCUGACAGCGGCGGUUAAAGCGGAUUUUAGUUGUUAAGGAAAGACCAAAGCCCGCCGAUGGGCGUGGUUUUUCCGAGACUAAACGUCGGAUAAGUAUGUAGAAAACUUUAACGAAGCGUGCAAGACCGGAGUGCAAGUCUCCGCACUUCCACCA
rnacentral:tmRNA from 1 species